UGAGGGCAGUAUCACAGCUAUGCCCGUGUAUUUAUAGCGGGAUACUGAGGGCGAGUGCUGCGUGCGUUAGGGCUUGGGGUAAGGGACGCCGGAGGGUGUCAGGCCUGCUGCGAUGUCACUGGGGGACCCCGAAGGACGGCGGGAAGACAAACCUGGUCCUUCCUGGGAAUGGUCCCCAGUGCUGGCUGUAGCCUAACCGCUGCCAGGGGCCGAGCUAACAGCUAAGCAGAACGGAUGAGCAGUGUUUUCCAACUAACCUCUUGGCUUUGUUUUGUUUAGUGGGGCAGAUGUAGCUGUUGUUGUGCGUGUUGGAGUGUUUAAUUUGCUAUAACAUAAUUUUGCUUUUUUGACAGGGCAAUAUGUUGCGGUAUAUCUGAAGUGUGAGAAGUACCAAUCGAGCACAGACUGACACGUUUUAAAAUAUCAGUGUUUGCCAGAGCUUCCUCACCAAAUGCUCAUAAAGCCUUUGCCAUGAUCCUGAAAUAUCUUGCCGAGUACAGAGCGAUGGAGGAGGUAUGCCUUCCUUACAGCCUGAGGCAGUUGGUGUUAGGGAUCACAGAACAGCAAGUAGAUGGAUGGAGGCUGUGGGCGUUCGUCUGUUUGCCAGGUGACUUUCCUCUCUCCUGGGCAAUCCAGGUGUUUAACAAAUCCAGUCAGACAGCAGUAGCGGGCCCAGCAUGCCAAGGGAAGGAAGAGCAAGCACACCCUUCAAGAAUCUGCUUUUCUGGAGUGUGAAGCUCACGCCCGUUAAUAUUGCCUGGAGUGCUGGGUGUUGUGGAUUCCCAUCGCUUCUGAAAAUUUUAACACCGUACACCCAUUUCAAACACUCCCAACAGCAUAAAUUAGACUACUCAUCUACUGUGAAACCCACAGUACUUACUAGGUUCAAACCUCAGUCUUGGCCCCAGCUGUGUAAAGCAGACAGCAAGCUGCCCGAAAGGAGCAGCCAAGAUUUCCCUCAAGGAAAUCUUUCUUUUUGCCCUUUCACACAAGGGCAAAUUUCCAUUUCAUAAGAAACACAGCUAGCCAGGCAUCAGCAUGGUGGGGGCAGGGCAAAGCAGCUCCUCUGGGUCUUCCUGUGGGCAGUGUAACUGAUGCCUGUUGUAAGAUUAAAUUUGGGAGGGGGAUGAGAGACUUCAGUCAAGAUGGUUUGGACCACUAAUUGAAAUAGGUUUAAUUAUAUCUUAAGUUAAUUGACUUCAUUCAGGCUGAAUUUUCAUAAAAGAAAUGUGAAAAGGUGAACCAAUGCAGAGUCAGAUUAAAUAUGCAGUGCAGAGAUCUACAAAUGCACUUUGUUAAAUGCCACUGCUUGUAGAACAUCUUGUUUCAUUUUACAGAUAUAUCAACAGAAAACCAAGACACUGCAAAAUAAACCUGUAUGUAAAUUCUUUUGUGGGUAUAUAACUUUACUUGUGUAAUUUAUUUCACUGACUGAAAAGUGCCAUUCAUUUGCUCAAAAUUAAAAAUGUAUACAAGCAUUUGUAGUGCUCAGGUCUAAUGUGAUCAGGAUGACUUUAUUUAUUUUAGUUAAAAGCCUAAAUCCUUAUCAUUUCAAAACAAAACACUCAGUGAUAGUAAUUAAAAGUUACUCAGGCUUUCAGUACAUUAACAGAAUUAUACACGUUUUGAAAACAGGAGGCUAACGGUAGUCUUAUAAACCCAUAUUGAGUCACUUAAGAGUGGGGAUUUCUAAAGUGUCCAAGAGCAUGCUCACAGUAGCAGGUAUGGAAAAACCUAAUCAAACAUCAUCCUUACUAUAUAUUCUGCCCAGCCGUGGUCUAGAAGCAGAAUAUGUGAAUAUUUGAUCAGGACUGUGAGAGCACUGCUUACAUAGCUUCUUGACUGCAGCUAUCUUGCAUCUAGACAGAUUAGUGCAAAAGAAUUUCUAGCCUAGCUCUUGUCUCACACAUGGUAAACUACCUAGUUCCACCUUAUUUAGGUGCGUAAAACCCACAGACUACAAACUGUAAACCCUAGCGUAAGAGCAUGAGCUGAUGGAGAAUGGUCAGUAGGUAGGAAACUGGGACACAUCAUCCAUAGCAUGGGCUUUUUGCUUAUAUGCUUAGUGUUUCAUGGUGUGCUGCUAUCCCAAUAAAGAAGUUAAUGAAUGGUAUUUCUCAGCAGAGAUGGAUGUUACUAACACUUGUGCAACUCUGUAUUUAAAAUCUUACAUUCUGCUUUAAUCACGUUGUUGCAUAAAGGGCCAAGUGCAAAACAUCCACUUUGAUCAUUUAACAGGUAACAGCAAAGAAGUACUGACGUGUACCUAAUUGUCUGAUCGAAAAUGAGGCAAAUAAAUGUAAAAAAAAAAAAAAAAACAACUGUGAAAAUACGAUUUUAUUUCAUUUUUCUUUUUUAAGUUGUUUUCUAUUCUUUCCAUGUUGGGAAGGUUCACAGAGUAGGAAAGAGUUACUUCUAAAGUCAGAUAAGAAUAAACUUCUUCCACUGCUCACCCUUAAAAUAAAAAGACUUGCAAAGAAACACCCUGUGUUUUAUGAACUUUCCACUGAUAACUAUUUUUUGCAAAGAGUGGUGAAUGCUUUCAUUUUUUAAAUGUUUCCAAAUUGUCUUUGUGCUGCUAUCAUAUUAUUUCACUGAAUUAUUGAUGCCCCCGAGAUGGAAGAUGUUAUUUUUUUCCUACUGCAAAGAAUGAAUUAAGUUACUAAAAAAUCAAGUUAUUCAAGUUUAUGUAUUGUGUUAAUGCAGGAACCCAUUUCCCUAUUCUAACCACUAACUAAUAAACUUGUUUAAAAGUGUA